rnacentral:other from 1 species
GUUGUCCUGCUGUAUUUGUAUAUUAAGUUAUGUUGAAUCAACAUAAAUGAAUUGGGAAUCCAGCUCUUCUUGUGGAAUGAUACUUAUUUUGAUUAUAAGAACAUGAAAUGAGAAGGAGAUACCCACUUAAUGGGUUUGGAUUUAGACAAUAACUUAUUUACGGUACAGCGGGGUUAAU